UGGAUUAAUCGAUGCAAAAUCACGGUUCCGGAACAAUCUCUGCCCGCUACAAUCUCACUUAAGUAAACAUAAAAGAAACUAAAGCAAAAAUGAAAAACAAAAGAAAGUUUGAAAUCUAAUAUGUGUAAUUUGUUCAACUCCCCCUUAAUCUAGUUAUAAUUUGUUUAUAUAGACAAAAAUAAAAAAGACUAAAGUGCUCAUUUGUUUAUAAUGAAAAUUAGGGUUUUAAGUUGUAAAAGACCCCUAAUUGCCCUUUAAAAAUCUCAACCGACGCGUACAUGAAUUUUUUGCCACACAGAAGCGGUGUUGCAACAUCUGAAUCUUAUGUUGCAACAUCUAAUCGGUGUUGCGGCAUUCGGUUAUCGGUGCUACAACAUUUGUAGUAGUUCUGUCCCAAAACUUUGUUUUUCUUCUGUCUUCGAUGUUGCAACAUCAUUUUCAGUCCGAAUGUGUACUUUUAGCUACCAAUCCAUCCUACAUAGCUACAUAACCUAUUUAGAUAUCAAAACAUUGUAAAAACAAUAGAAAAACAUAAUUUACUAAAUCAAAUGAUAAAAACAUAAAUAGAUACUAAAAUGUCUUGAUUUAGCUUAUUAAACAUACUAAAGUCAGUGAAAAGGGAUGUAAAUAAUAGCCUAGAUCGUGGCAGAUCAAAAACACAACACCCAGUAGUAGAUCUUCGAUCUGUUAGAUUUGGUGCCCUAAGUGUAGUAUAUUCAUUUGUAAACUUGUAUUUUUUUAAUAGAUUGAUUAAUAAAAUGAUUCAUAAAUUACAUUAAUAUUCUUUAUACAAUGUCCUCAUGUGGUUUUUGCACACAAAGUAAAAUAAAAACAAAUAUUAGUUCACUGGUUGUUUAAUGUUUAAAAUAAUACUAAGCGGUAUUAUAUGGUCGGAUCGUAUACAGAAAUACAACUUAUAUUAGUAGAAAAACCUAAAUAUGUCCUUAGUUUAAUUGGAAAUGAGCAAACUGAUCGAAAGACUAAUAUGUCCUCUAUCAACUUCAAUUGGAAAAAUAUCUUGUCUUGGGUAUCAGAGCGGAUGACUCCUAAAAGAUGGAGACAUAGAUGUGACUAACUGGACUGAUUGUACAUCGGAUUAGACCCAAACAAAAUAGAUCCUGAAUCUGUUUAUGGAUUUAUUCACUUGUGACGUUUAUAGUGUGACAUGCUUUAAUCCUGAGUGGAUGAUGGACUAUGUAUGCGUGACUCAUAUACUUUGAUGUAAGUAAAAGCCUGAGUUCAAAUAGAUAAGGAAUCAAAAGCUAAUGCGUAACCCAAGAUAAGGUUAAAUGAUAUCCUCUCAUUGGCAUUACAAGAUAGAUGAAAAGUAAAUGUGGUCGCGAGUCGUUUGUUUUUUUUAUGAAUGACUUAAUUACUUUUUUAUAGUAAUUGAGUUCUCAUGAAAGAAGAUGUAAUGGUUACCAUGAGAUAAAAUAAGAUCAUAUUGGGAGAAUAGAUUUAUCCCCAAGAGAUUAAGGAUAUCUUAUGAGAGUAACACACUUGUGACAAGGUCAUUAGACAAGCACUGAUCGAGUAGCUUUCAUAAUGGUAUGUCAUUAGGGAGAGCUCAUUCACGAUACUAUAGUGGAAUGACUUUGUGACUAAAUAAGUUUAUACUUAAUAGACAAAAAGCUAUAACUUAAUUAUAAAUCAUUUGAUCCCUAAUCACAUAUGUUUAAUUGGUUCCUCCACUAGCUCCUUGAAACUAGAAAUGAAUUGCAUGUUGAAUCAAAUGAACAUAAAUUGAUAGAAAUGGUAAAGUUAAAGAAAUGAAAAACAUUCAAAAAUGAAUGUGGUUUUCUCACUAAGUAUGAAAAUGACCUAAUAAUUAAUUCAUGGUUUUUUGAAUUAUUAUUUAAUUAAUUAAUUAUAUAAUUGAAGUUCAAAAAAUAGAAUUAAACUAAUUGGUCAUUGUGAAUCUGUUGAAUGUAGAAAUGUUAAAUAUAUUCUCUCAUAGAUUAUUUUACAGUAAUGUUGUCAUGAUUUUAACAGAAUCAAAAUUGAGUUGAGAAAAAUAUUUAAUUGGGAAAUUAAUUAAUUUAUUAUGUUUAUUUUUGGAAAUAAAAAACAUGUAUUGGGUUGGAUUGAAUUAUAAAGUAUAGGGUUAAAAGUCCAGGAAACAUUUAUAAUUGGACCAGAUAUGGGAGAAGCCCAAAAGCCCUUCAUGUUGGAUACAUAGGACGACAAAACUUAGUAUAUUUAAUUAGGGUUGUCGCCUCUCUCUCUCCUAGUUCAACUAGGAAGUUAUUUUCUAUUAAAUAAACUUCAAUUAACUCAACAAGGGUUUCAUAAGUUUUACACAACUUUGAGAUAUUGUUAUUCUACCGAUUAUAGUGAGAAUUUAAUUUCUAAGUAUAAAUUCUAUUUUCCAGAAUAACAAUUCUACUAGUUUCUAUUAAAGAGAGAAAUUUACUUUCUCAUUAAAAGUAAAGUAAAUAAUUUCUAAUUUUGUGUUUGAUUCAAAUUUGUUCGAGUCCACACUCGAAACAAUUCGUGGUACGUGAAGAAGGUCAUUUGGUUGAAAACCGGAAAUAACACGGAUCCUUCUAUCCCAAAGCACAGGUGCAAUUUCAGGAAAAUUUUUAUUGUAAUAAAUAUCACAAACCAACUCAGUUUUCAAAUUUUUAAUUUUUUGCUAUGCAAGAAAACCUUUUUCGAACCAGAUUUUUUCCAAAUCAUAUUCACAUAUAUUCAUAUUUGAUACCAUUUCAUAAAUAUCAUUUUAACUCAUUAUCAAUUAUCGUGUUCAUACUUUAUAACCCCUAAUAACCAGACUCAGACUCAAGAUGGAUACACGGAUUGCCUAACCAACACACCAAUUUGGCACCUAGUGCCUCAUCAGAACGUUCGAAGCAUAAGUUUGUGCACAACACUCAUCAGUAUAACUGAAGUAAAAUGUGUGCCUAGCACUAAUCAGUAUAACUAAAGUAAAAUGUGUGUCUAACACUCAUCGAAACAUCAGAAAUAAUAUGCGUCCAGCGCUCGUCGGUAUAUAAUCAAGUAUAAUGUGUGCAUAGCACUCGUCAGAAGGUUCGAAGUAAUAUGCGUCUAAUGCUCAUCAAUAUAUAAUUGAAGCAAAAUGUGUGCCCUGCACUCAUUGAACAUCCAAAAUAAUAUGCACCUAACACUUAUCGGUAUAUAACCGAAAUACAAUUUGAACUCGAUCUAAUUCUAUGACAUAUCAAUUAUAUCUGACUCUUCUCAAACCGUUAAUAGGGUACCAAUGUGCAAUUACAUUAUUCAAUCUCAUACAUAUAUCAUUUCUCAUUUAAUUUCAUAAUCACAUUUCAAUCCAUCAUCAAUUCACAACUUUCUCAUAUCACAUAACAUGUUUCAAUCCAUUUUCAUAUCACAUAUUAUGUAUCAAUUAAAUCAUGUUACUUUCUAUUUUGUUCAAUUCAGUCCAAUAUCAAUCACAAUGAAUUAAUUUAUACAACAAUCAUGUACUCACCUCGAUACUCAAUCAUUCAAUUAACAUGAAUAUGAAAACACAUAUAUUGAUCUCGAAUCAUAAAAGUACAAAUUGAAUGCUUAUUUCACUUGUCGACGACUCUUGUUUUUCCUUUCCCUCUCGACAACCUAGUGUCGUCCUUAGCUACAUAUGAUAAUUUAAAAAAUAAACAAUAUCAAAUUUCAUCCAAUUCACAUUCAAAUACAAAACCAAGCAUAUUUUACAUUUUUUUUCAAUUUAGUCUUUAUACGCAGGAUAUGCAUAUCUUUUGAUAUUUAGCAUCAAAUUAAAAUCCAAUUUCACAUUAUUUCAUUAGGGACCUUAUAUUUUCUAUUCAUAGCAUAAUUUCAUGAUAUAUUUUCAAUUUAUUCCCUAAUGUCACAAAGUUAACUAUCAAUCUUAUUUAGCUUUACAAUUUAGUUCUUAUCAUGAUAUAAAUUUAAUUUCUAUCAAUUUCAAGCCUAAUUAAUCAAUUUCUCAACAAUGGCAACUUGCUAAAAACUCAACAAUUGAAAAAAUUGUUACAUAGGCUAACUAAAUCAAACUCCCAUGACCAUAAAUCUAUAAAAAAUUACAUAAAAAAUAGCUUGGUUACCUUUAGAUUUUAGCUUGGCCGAAUGUAUUGAGGGAGCUUGAAGCUUUCUUUAUUUCUAAAUAAUG
rnacentral:lncRNA from 1 species